rnacentral:rRNA from 1 species
AGAGUUUGAUCAUGGCUCAGGAUGAACGCUGGCGGCGUGCCUAAUACAUGCAAGUCGAGCGAACCACUUCGGUGGUGAGCGGCGAACGGGUGAGUAACACGUAGGUGAUCUGCCCAUCAGACGGGGACAACGAUUGGAAACGAUCGCUAAUACCGGAUAGGACGAAAGUUUAAAGGUGCUUCUGGCACCGCUGAUGGAUGAGCCUGCGGCGCAUUAGCUAGUUGGUAGGGUAAAGGCCUACCAAGGCGACGAUGCGUAGCCGACCUGAGAGGGUGAACGGCCACACUGGGACUGAGACACGGCCCAGACUCCUACGGGAGGCAGCAGUAGGGAAUCUUCGGCAAUGGGCGAAAGCCUGACCGAGCAACGCCGCGUGAAUGAUGAAGGCCUUCGGGUUGUAAAAUUCUGUUAUAAGGGAAGAACGACUUUAGUAGGAAAUGGCUAGAGUGUGACGGUACCUUAUGAGAAAGCCACGGCUAACUACGUGCCAGCAGCCGCGGUAAUACGUAGGUGGCGAGCGUUAUCCGGAAUUAUUGGGCGUAAAGAGCGCGCAGGUGGUUGAUUAAGUCUGAUGUGAAAGCCCACGGCUUAACCGUGGAGGGUCAUUGGAAACUGGUCGACUUGAGUGCAGAAGAGGGAAGUGGAAUUCCAUGUGUAGCGGUGAAAUGCGUAGAGAUAUGGAGGAACGCCAGUGGCGAAGGCGGCUUCCUGGUCUGUAACUGACACUGAGGCGCGAAAGCGUGGGGAGCAAACAGGAUUAGAUACCCUGGUAGUCCACGCCGUAAACGAUGAGUGCUAAGUGUUGGGGGUCGAACCUCAGUGCUGAAGUUAACGCAUUAAGCACUCCGCCUGGGGAGUACGGUCGCAAGACUGAAACUCAAAGGAAUUGACGG